AACAGCCGCGGUAAUUCCAGCUCCAAUAGCGUAUAUUAAAGUUGUUGCAGUUAAAAAGCUCGUAGUUGAAUUUCGGGUUAGCAGGUCGGUCGUGCCAUUGGUAUGAACUGGUCUCGCUGAUCCCUCCCUCUUGACGAACUGUGAUGCCAUUAAUUUGGUGUCGCAGGGAAUCAGGACUGUUACUUUGAAAAAAUUAGAGUGUUUAAAGCAGGCUCACGCUUGAAUACAUUAGCAUGGAAUAAUGAAAUAGGACGUUUGAUCCUAUUUUGUUGGCUUCUAGGAUUGACGUAAUGAUUAAUAGGGAUAGUUGGGGGCAUUAGUAUUCAAUUGUCAGAGGUGAAAUUCUUGGAUUUAUUGAAGACUAACUACUGCGAAAGCAUUUGCCAAGGAUGUUUUCAUUAAAUCAAGAACGAAAGUUAGGGGAUCGAAGACGAUCAGAUACCGUCGUAGUCUUAACCAUAAACUAUGCCGACUAGGGAUCGGAUGAUGUUAAUUUUUUAAUGACUCAUUC
rnacentral:rRNA from 1 species